GACGAACGCUGGCGGCGUGCUUAACACAUGCAAGUCGAACGGAAAGGCCCUGCUUUUGUGGGGUGCUCGAGUGGCGAACGGGUGAGUAACACGUGAGUAACCUGCCCUUGACUUUGGGAUAACUUCAGGAAACUGGGGCUAAUACCGGAUAGGAGCUCCUGCUGCAUGGUGGGGGUUGGAAAGUUUCGGCGGUUGGGGAUGGACUCGCGGCUUAUCAGCUUGUUGGUGGGGUAGUGGCUUACCAAGGCUUUGACGGGUAGCCGGCCUGAGAGGGUGACCGGCCACAUUGGGACUGAGAUACGGCCCAGACUCCUACGGGAGGCAGCAGUGGGGAAUAUUGCGCAAUGGGCGGAAGCCUGAUGCAGCAACGCCGCGUGCGGGAUGACGGCCUUCGAGUUGUAAACCGCUUUCGCCUGUGACGAAGCGUGAGUGACGGUAAUGGGUAAAGAAGCACCGGCUAACUACGUG
rnacentral:rRNA from 1 species